rnacentral:rRNA from 1 species
CCGGCACGGGUGAGUAACACGUAUGCAAUCCACCUGUAACAGGGGGAUAACCCGGAGAAAUCCGGACUAAUACCCCAUAAUAUGGGCGCUCCGCAUGGAGAGCCCAUUAAAGAUAGCAAUUUUGGUUACAGACGAGCAUGCGCUCCAUUAGCCAGUUGGCGGGGUAACGGCCCACCAAAGCGACGAUGGAUAGGGGUUCUGAGAGGAAGGUCCCCCACAUUGGAACUGAGACACGGUCCAA